rnacentral:rRNA from 1 species
GGAAACCCUGACGCAGCAACGCCGCGUGGGUGAUGAAGGUCUUCGGAUUGUAAAGCCCUGUUUUCUAGGACGAUAAUGACGGUACUAGAGGAGGAAGCCACGGCUAACUACGUGCCAGCAGCCGCGGUAAUACGUAGGUGGCGAGCGUUGUCCGGAUUUACUGGGCGUAAAGGGUGCGUAGGCGGAUGUUUAAGUGGGAUGUGAAAUCCCCGGGCUUAACCUGGGGGCUGCAUUCCAAACUGGAUAUCUAGAGUGCAGGAGAGGAAAGCGGAAUUCCUAGUGUAGCGGUGAAAUGCGUAGAGAUUAGGAAGAACACCAGUGGCGAAGGCGGCUUUCUGGACUGUAACUGACGCUGAGGCACGAAAGCGUGGGUAGCAAACAGGAUUAGAUACCCUGGUAGUCCACGCCGUAAACGAUGGAUACUAGGUGUAGGGGGUAUCAACUCCCCCUGUGCCGCAGUUAACACAAUAAGUAUCCCGCCUGGGGAGUACGGUCGCAAGAUUAAAACUCAAAGGAAUUGACGGGGGCCCGCACAAGCAGCGGAGCAUGUGGUUUAAUUCGAAGCAACGCGAAGAACCUUACCUGGACUUGACAUCCCUUGCAUAGCCUAGAGAUAGGUGAAGCCCUUCGGGGCAAGGAGACAGGUGGUGCAUGGUUGUC